rnacentral:tRNA from 1 species
UCCCUGGUGGUCCGAUAGUUAGGACAUGGCACUUUGACUGCCUGGGCCCAGGGUUCAAUCCCUGGUUGGGAA